CAGACUUCAUGGAAGACAAGGCAAGCACACUGAAUACUUUUUUUUAACCUAACCUAGUGUAGUAUGCCUGUUUUAAAAUGAAUUUACAUGUUUGCAAUAACAUGUGUUUCUUUAAAAACUGCACAUUUAAUGGGAGUGCAAAAUGGAUUCCUGCUUAAUUCUACAACCAUGCGACUCUUCUGGAAAUACCAAAUGGGAAACCAAAUCACACAGAAAAGAUGAAGUUCUAUAAAGUGUUUACUUGAAAGUUAACUUGAAGGUCAUAUGGUCUAACACAGCUGGCCUGGAAAGAACUUUGCUCCAGUUGGGUUUGGUUGGACUCCUCAAGGGACCCGCACAUCACACCAGACCUCAAAACAGAGCCUGGACUUGCAGCUCAGUGCGUAAGAGGCUCAGAACCUCAGCCCUGCAGAAGUGUUCCUCAUUCAGGGACGCUAAUAAAUUACAGUGCUGAUGUCACAGCAGAGAAGCACUUGGGAAAACACUCUUUAAAAUACAUUAAAUAUGUGUGAUUCACUGGUGGAAGGGAGAGCUAAAGAGGGAACAUGUCAUUUAAACUGAGAAUUGUUUCUCAUGGAUUGUCUUACAGGUUUAAACCUAAACCACUGUCACUUCAAAUGAAGACACAUGCUAGUCAGAGUGGAUUUCUCUAUCUCUCCAGUUACAGGUGUACAGACUAAGCAUUUUCUUACCUUUUAUUAUCUUUACUCAUAAAUGUUUCCCACAGUAAAAGUAAAACGUGUGGGGAAUAGAUAUGAAAUCAGAGAAAAAUUGUAUUAAUGUUUUAGUUUGUUACAAGGAAUUAUAUGUCCCUUCAGUAAUAAGGCCACUCCCCUAUUAGAGCCCCAUUUUGUUGGUCCCUUGAGUGGCCUGUAUAGCAAGGUUCAUCUGUAUUUAAGUAAGUUGCAUGUUACAGUAAACCGGGUUUGUAAAAUCUGUUUUUAGUGUCGGCCCUAUUCAACAGAGGCUAUCCAAACUGUGGCGACUGCCAGCAUUUGUCAGAUUUGAAAAUGUUGAAUGCAUUUAAUUCACCACAUAUUGUUUUUAACAGUUCAGCAAAUCUUAAGCACAUUCAGCAAAUGUUGAACAGACUUAAAAAAUGAAAACAAGAUGUCAAUCAGUUUUUCCGAAAGGUCAGAAAAGGAUUUUAAGCCUGCAGUCGAUAAAGAUUUAAAACAAGUCUUAACUCUUAUUAGCACAUCGACCUUCCUCAUAUUUUGGCUGCAAAUGGUUUAUUUUACAGAUUUUUCCUUGGCAGAAGCCCAGAAUAUUCUAACAUAUGCUUAGUUGGUAUUGAAUAAAAUAUCUGAACUAAAAGAAAAGUGUAGGCUUAAUAGAGUGUGUGUCUCUUUCUUCUGAACCUGUUACAGAGGCUGGUAGGUGGGCAGGGGAUACAGGAGACCCCCAGGUUGUCUUCUGUGUAAUUAAUUACACUUUGUUCUAUGUCAUUCUGUGAUCACAUACAGCCAAGUUCAGGUAAUUAAAGGUUGCCCAAUGUGGUAAAACUUGCAGCUAUUGUUAUGUAUUGUGCUAUAAUGGUCUACAGUAGUGCCAGGCCACUCAGCUGCCAACACCCAUAUUUAAAAUUGAGUGGCAACUAGUAAAAAUAAGGAUGACUUUAUUAAACAGAUCUCCAAGUUACAGGUGUCAGACUCAACCGUUGCAAGACGUGUGGAAACUAUAUCUGAAGACCUGUGUUGCAAGUUAAGGAAAGGAUCUCUGAAUGCCACAAUGGAGGUUGUGGUUAAAGUAGUGAACUUUACUGUUACACACUCACUCAAGCACAGUCAGUUAAAACUUUUAGUUGACAAGUAUUUUAGUAACUCGUGACAGUGAUUUGGUGCUGUAUGCAGAAGUAAGAUGUCUUAAUCUUGGUCAGGUGUUGGCUUGUUUCAUGGAUCUGCUUCCUGCCAUCAGAGAUUUUUUGGAAGAGCCGAUUUGAUCUACUGUCAUACCUGAAUGAUGAAACAUUAACGCUGCAAGUGACAUUUCUUACC